CGCCGCGUGCAGGCGGCAGUAGCAGCCGGGCUGGCGAGCGGGCUGCGCCCCAAGCCGCGGCGGAGGCGCCGGCAGGGACUGGGCCAUGUGAUGCAGGGAGGGGGAGGGGGAGGGCAGCGAGAGGAAGAGGAGGUGGGGGAGGAGCAGGCGGGUAGGUGCUGCUCGCUAUAGAGUCGCUGGGGCUCCGCCGCCGCUGCCGGGGAGCGGAGCCGGGCAGCAGCCGCGGGAGAACGUGCCAGCGAGCCGGGCUAGGGGCAGAGCCGCCGCCGUCCCUCCCUCCCUAGGAAUCCCAAGCGGCCGGAGGGUGGAGCCGCGGCCCCCGGAGCGAGCUGCUCCCCCGGCUGUGUGGCGCGGGGAGGAGGAAAGGCAGCGGCGGCAGCAGGGAGCCCGCGCUGCAAGGAGCCGCCGCCGCUUCAUCCUGCGGCACCGGGAGGCAAAGAGGAGCCCGGGCGUGCGCAGGUGGCAGUGUAGAAGCCAAGAACAAAAACUGACAGAAGUUACUAUUCUCUAUAAGAAAAUGAAGAGAGUGAACACAUGACUAAUCACAGGAACCUGAAAAACCACAGGAAUGAAAUGCUGAUAGCUCCUUACUUUGGAGAGUGACUGAAAGAAAACAGAUCAUUCAUACAGUAUACAACAAAGGCAUUUUAUAAUCUGAUUUGUCUACCUGUGAUGAAGAAUUUUAGUUAAUGGAAGCUGCAGCAGUCUGUCACCAGGAAAUAUACUGCUUUAUUCAGAAUGGGUCCCAGGAGGUGUUGCGGAAGGGCAAAGGAGGCUGGACAUCUCCUCUACACUCUCACAACUCCUGCAGUUCCUAGGGCUAGGCAACUUUUCCAACUCGCCUCCAUGUGCAAUGACUUCCAAGGGGUAGCUGUGGCAGCUGGGGACUGCUGGAGCACACUGCACUCUGACCAUGCCUUCCUCCCCUUACAAAUCUACUGCGGUAUGGUACGGAGCCAGCAAUGCCAGUUCUACACCCCCUGGAAUUCUCCUACACCAGAGCUUGAAGGCUCUUUUGUGCUGCUAGAAAAACCUAAAGCAGCCUUAUCAGGGCUGAGCAGCCACCCCCUUGUCUUCGUCCUCACCUGCAAAGCAUCUAGCCUGCUAUGAAUUCAACCCUGUAAGGUUCUGAGCAAAUGAAAUCAAUUUUAUUAUUACUGACACAUGCGUACACACACACACACACUCUGGUUAUUGUGUCAUUGACUUCUAUAGGGCCAGGAGCUCAUGCCUAGAAUACUCCCAAGUUCUGUUAAAUACUGAUUAUUAAAUAAUCUGUGCACCUGGAGCUUUUGCCUGCCCUGGCUAUGAAGGAGUUAAAGAUUUGUAUACAACAAAAUGAAAAGGGCUGUUUAAAAUUCUCCUUCCAGUGCAAGUCAUCACUCCCCAUAUGGUAAGAUAUUUAUCUCAAAUACAUGUUGUUCCGUAAAUCAGAGGAUUUUUUUUUUAAAGUUCUAUGUAGCAAAAUGUCUCUGUGCAUUUCUGUCAUUGUAACUGUUAUGGAACAGUCGGCAGCAUUGAUUUCACUGGAACAAAAUAUUUUUGGCACUGUCCUUUCCCCCCCUCAUGGAUAGUUCUCUGGUAAACACAAUCUUCUUUCAGAAUAGGGUUGGCUGCUAUAGUUCCCGUCUCAUACACAUAGCAUUAGCUUACCUGAUAGAAAACAUACAAGCUCUAUAAAACCAAACACACAAAAGUAAGGGACAACAGCUUUAACUUUGCCACUAAUUUCAGCCCUGGAAAGCAAGUUCUUCUUAGGACAGUUCUGCAACUCAAGUUGUGAGAGGGGCAUCAAUCCAAUAUACACCCACUGUCCACCGCUCUGGGUUUUAUGUUGUUGUUGUUUGUAAUUUAUUUCUAGGGCUGGUACUAAUUUUCAGUUUGUCAACCCUUGACUCAUAGAAACUCUUCCCCUGCAAAAAGGAUGCAUCUCCCUGCCGAGCACAGGAAAAAAUGUAACAUGAAAUUCAAUCCUUUCCUGAUUGGACAGGAGAUGAGGAGAGGACAAGGGAGAACAGCAUGAUGAGGAAGUUCUGUCAUUUCCAGAAGGAAGCAUGAGUCACUGUGCAGAGCAUUUUUGGGAGCCUGAAUCAGAGCUGUCGAGGAAGUCAGUUCUUGGACAGUUUUAAUGUUUGGUUUAACUGUGACUUUUCCAGUGAGCUGCUUGCCUCUGUGUGAAGACUGUAGAUAUAAAAAGCUCAGAUUACACGCCACUAAAGAACAAGAAAUAGGACAGACAAGAGAGCCCCAGAGUGAGUGAAAGCUCAAUAGAAGUAUUUACAAGGCAAGAUAAUUUGAUGUACAUUUGGAAAAAAAUAUAAAAUAAAAUUAGAAAAUGCA